GAUGAACGCUAGCGGCAGGCUUAAUACAUGCAAGUCGAGGGGCAGCACAGAUAGCAAUAUUGGGUGGCGACCGGCAAACGGGUGCGGAACACGUACACAACCUUCCUUUUAGUGUGGGAUAGCCCAGAGAAAUUUGGAUUAAUACCACAUAGUAUAUUGGAGUGGCAUCACUUUGUUAUUAAAGAUUUAUCGCUAAAAGAUGGGGUUGCGUAUGAUUAGGUAGUUGGUAGAGGUAACGGCUCACAAAGGCUUCGAUCAUUAACUGGUGUGAGAGCACGACCAGUCACACGGGCAUUGGGACACGGGCCCGACUCCUACGGGAGGCAGCAGUAAGGAAUAUUGGUCAAUGGACGGAAGUCUGAACCAGCCAUGCCGCGUGAAGGAUGACGGCCCUCUGGGUUGUAAACUUCUUUUAUGUGGGACGAAAAAGGGCCAUUUUUGGUCAACUGACGGUACCAUAGGAAUAAGCACCGGCUAACUCCGUGCCAGCAGCAGCCGCCGUAA
rnacentral:rRNA from 1 species